GUCCUCCGCAUAAGGACCUCGAUUGCGGUUGGAUCUGGCACCGCCACGCUGUUUGGGUUCGAUAGAUGGGCUGGGGACUCCCCCUUCGCGACGCGCUUCCCUGAUCUGUUCUCCAUCGCGGUAGAGCCACGGAUUUCUGUUGCGGUGGCCCUUAUUGACUUAGGGCACAUCGCGUUCCGGAGACCGUUUGGACCGACCGAAAAUGAUGUGUGGCAGGACCUGCUUGAUUGCAUCGCCUUGCACGAGCCAGAUCUGGAGAUUGGCGAGGACCGCACCAGGUGGCGGCUAGAGCCAUCUGGACAAUUCUCCUCUAAAUCUCCCUACCAGGCCAUAGCCCCUUCGCCGGGCCCUGAGGCUCUCACCACCAUCUGGGCGAUUCGGCUCCCCUUGAAGAUUAGGAUUUUCUUGUGGCAAUGGAUUCACGGCCGCCUUCCAUCCGGUGUUGAGGUCCUGAAGCGCAACGGCCCCGGUGAUGGGCGGUGCCCGCUCUGCGGGCCUGAAGAGGAUACGAACCAUAUCUUCUUCACAUGUACAUCCGCGCAGUUUCUCUCGAGCUGUUUCCGCGAGGUUGUGGGUGGAAGAUGGGAUCACCCCAACUUCCCCGCCCUCUUCGCCGAACUUCAGGCAUUACCACCCACGUUGCGCCACAUUAGGUGGCUGACCAUCGGGGUGCUAGCCUGGACGCUGUGGACUAUUAGGAAUAAACUUGUGAUUUAG
rnacentral:rRNA from 1 species